UACGAAGGGGGCGAGCGUUGUUCGGAUUUACUGGGCGUAAAGGGCGCGCAGGCGGCUCAUUUUGUCAGGCGUGAAAGCCCCGGGCUUAACCUGGGAACUGCGUUUGAUACGGAUGGGCUAGAGUUCGGGAGAGGAGAGUGGAAUUCCCAGUGUAGAGGUGAAAUUCGUAGAUAUUGGGAAGAACACCGGUGGCGAAGGCGGCUCUCUGGGCCGAUACUGACGCUGAGGAGCGAAAGCGUGGGGAGCGAACAGG
rnacentral:rRNA from 1 species